GCUCCGAUGGCCUAGUGGUUAGAGCGUCCUCCUUGGAUGUGGGAGGUCGUGGGUUCAAUCUCCUGUCCAAAGACU